rnacentral:rRNA from 1 species
UUAAAUUGAAGAGUUUGAUCAUGGCUCAGAUUGAACGCUGGCGGCAGGCCUAACACAUGCAAGUCGAACGGUAACAGGAAACAGCUUGCUGUUUCGCUGACGAGUGGCGGACGGGUGAGUAAUGUCUGGGAAACUGCCUGAUGGAGGGGGAUAACUACUGGAAACGGUAGCUAAUACCGCAUAACGUCGCAAGACCAAAGAGGGGGACCUU